UCGAGGAUAUUUAGCAAUGGACGAAAGUCUGACUAUGCGACGCCGCGUGAGGGAUGAAGGAUUUCGGUUCGUAAACCUCUUUUGGCAGGGAAGAACAUUCUAUAUUUAAUAGGUAUAGAACUGACGGUACCUGCAGAAUCAGCCACGGCUAACUCCGUGCCAGCAGCCGCGGUGAUACAGAGGUGGCAAGCGUUGUUCGGAAUUACUGGGCGUAAAGGGCGCGUAGGCGGCCUUGUAAGUCUCGUGUGAAAGCCCUCGGCUUAACUGAGGAUCUGCACGGGAUACUGCGAGGCUUGAGUUCGGGAGAGGAAAGCGGAAUUCCGGGUGUAGCGGUGAAAUGCGUAGAUAUCCGGAGGAACACCAGUGGCGAAGGCGGCUUUCUGGACCGACACUGACGCUGAGGCGCGAAAGCUAGGGGAGCAAACGGGAUUAGAUACCCCGGUAGUCCUAGCUGUAAACGAUGAUCGCUGGGUGUGGGGGGUUCUUACUCCCUCCGUGCCGAAGCUAACGCAUUAAGCGAUCCGCCUGGGGAGUACGGUCGCAAGGCUG
rnacentral:rRNA from 1 species